CCGAGUUUACAACUCCCAAACCCAUGUGAACAAUACCUACUGUUGCUUCGGCGGGAUUGCCCCGGGCGCCUCGUGUGCCCCGGAUCAGGUGCCCGCCUAGGAAACUUAACUCUUGUUUUAUUUUGGAAUCUUCUGAGUAGUUUUUACAAAUAAAUAA
rnacentral:misc_RNA from 1 species